rnacentral:rRNA from 1 species
UUCCAGACUCCUACGGGAGGCAGCAGUGAGGAAUAUUGGUCAAUGGGCGAGAGCCUGAACCAGCCAAGUCGCGUGAAGGAUGACGGCCCUACGGGUUGUAAACUUCUUUUGUCAGGGAGCAAUUGGGUCCACGCGUGGGCUUAGCGAGAGUACCUGAAGAAAAAGCAUCGGCUAACUCCGUGCCAGCAGCCGCGGUAAUACGGAGGAUGCGAGCGUUAUCCGGAUUUAUUGGGUUUAAAGGGAGCGUAGAUGGGUUGUUAAGUCAGUUGUGAAAGUUUGCGGCUCAACCGUAAAAUUGCAAUUGAUACUGGCAGCCUUGAGUACAGUUGAGGUAGGCGGAAUUCGUGGUGUAGCGGUGAAAUGCUUAGAUAUCACGAAGAACUCCGAUUGCGAAGGCAGCCUACUAAACUGCCACUGACAUUGAUGCUCGAAAGUGUGGGUAUCAAACAGGAUUAGAUACCCUUGUAUC